AUUCAGCUGACGAGUCCCAAAUAGGACGAAAUGCUCGUUAUCCUGGAU
rnacentral:hammerhead_ribozyme from 1 species